UUGUGAACGUGUCGAAUCUUGCCUUCCUUCAUCACGACUUCCAAGUUCCAACCCAACCAAACUCUUUCCCUCUCAACCAUUAUUAUUUCCUUGCAUUUCAUUUAAUACAAAACAAUUUCAUUUUCUUUUUGCCUUUUAAUCUGAUUCUCUCUCUUUUAUUAAAUGUUUUGUUAUGAAGUUAAAAGUGUGAUUGUUUUCCUUCCUUUUCUCUCCCUUUUUUGUUUUAUCUCUUCCAUUUUCAUGGAAUUCCUUUCUUCAAGAGCUUAGAGCUUAAUUUUGAUGGGGAAGCACGACGAUGAGCGCUCUGUUUUUCCUUUAACCAGUCUCCAAAUCGGAGACUUGCAGUCUUAUCUAUCGGAUCUUAGCCUUUUCUUGGCCCCUGAAAGUAACAAAUUCUACAUUUUGGUGGACAACCGGCCAUGGCUCAGGGACUUAGGUUCACGUCCUGCUCACUUGUGGCAAUUGAUGGUUACCAAGUCCAGGUUAUCUCCUUUUGCUAACACCAAAGGUCGUAGGGCAAGAAAGGAUGGAAAAGAAGCUUCUUCCAAAUCAAAUGCUAAAGAUGCCAAGAAGUUGGAGAGAUGGUUCUCUUUGGUAGAUGCUGCAAUGCUGUCGAAAAAGAGAAUUUUGCUACCUGUUAAGACAUUGAAAACCUCUUCGCUUCUUAGCAAUGAGCUGCAUAGGACAUUGUAUGGCUUCAUUGUAUUUGAAGUUUCAUGGUCCAAUGUUCGAGGUCUUAACUACUUGAAUGAACUUCAGACUGAUACCUCUCUAGCCAUAGAGGCUAAAUUCAUGCGAAGAUGGGAAUUUGACAGCAUUGAUCAAGCAGCAAAGUGUCUAUCUUCAUGGUUCUCCGGAACAUUGUUGGAGCAGCGGCAUCUGAAGGAGUACCUGAAUUCGACAAUUGGGGAGGUCUUCUAUGAUGCUGAAAAGGAUUUUCCCAGGUCAAUCCCUUUUGACGAUGAUGAAAAUAUCUGUGGUGAUAGUUUCAGCAUUGAGGAAGAUUUCCCUCAUGAUCAUUGUGGCAAUUUCAGGGUUUAUCCUGGAACAGUGGAAUGCGAUACUUCUGAACCGCACACUCCUCCUCCUACUGGGCCUUAUAAGAGAAGGAAAGUAACUAGGGCAAAUGGUACCGGAGUUGAAGUUGAUGCCUAUUGUGAGGAAACCCGAGGGCAAGCUGAAAGCUCAUUAGGGAACUCUAAUGAAAAUGCUGUGGAAGCUACGGAGUAUAGGGAUGUUCUUAUUUUGUUUAGAUUUGAUGAUAGAGAUCUCCCAUUUAAGUUACAGCAAAUAAUAAUGCCUGAUCUGAGGUUACUUCAUUUAUUGGAGGCUGGUCUUCCGUCUUGGGUGAUAUUCCUUCAAUCAUAUCCUGGCUUCUGCCAUAUCUAUCGCCCAUGGAUGUGCCCUCUGGCCAGAGCUCUAUAUGUUUUGAUUUCAAUCAUUACGGUUCUAAUAGGAUUUUAUGAUUUAUACAAAAAUGUCCCUGUUCUUAAGGCAACUGCUUCUCGUUUAUGUGGGCCACUUUUUGAUUGGAUAGAAACCUGGGAGAUGGUGUCAAGGAUCAAGUACUUGGGAACUAUGCUAUUUCUACAUAACUUUCAGAAGGCUGUUGAGUGGUUUUUGACAGCAACACAUGCUACUCGGUCAUUUUUCUCUGUUCUUUAUUUGCCAUUAGCAGAACCAUUUAUGGAAUGUUGGGGCUUCCUUUUGCCAAUUUGGAAUAUGUUCAGUGAACUAGUGGAGUGCUUAUUUUCAGUCAUUUGGACUGUGUUUGGUUCUCUCUGCAGUCUAAUGGAGGAUCUCAUAGAGGUUCUACUGAGGCCCAUAUGGUUCAUUGGCUUGGUUCUCUGGAACAUUGUGACUUCCAUCUUGUAUCCUAUAUUUUGGAUUCUUUGGGAAAUACUAUUUGCCCCAAUACGCCUGGUCCUUGCAUUAUCCAGUAUUGUGGCUUUUGUUUGUGGCUUCAUUUCUGAUUUGGUUGGAGAUAUAUGGAGGUUAUCAAGUAGCAUAAUUCAACUUGCUUCAGCUUCUGAAGCUACAGUGAGCAGCACGUAUGAGGUUUCUGUAUGGCGUUCACUUUGGAAUGACCUUUUUUCCCAGGUUUUUCGUGCUGUCAGAAGUAUAUUAAAUGGAUUUGUUGCCUUCUUCACGGCCUGCAACAGACAUCGCCUAAGCAUUUAUAAUCACGUACAGGAUGUCAUUCAAAGACGCUUUGGUGGAGUCCCAAGAUCACAGACCUCAGAUCCUAGACGAAGUAAAUCAACGUGUGGAAAUCAAUGUCAAUCAGAAGUAAGGAGAAGAGUCCAUAGUAAAAAUUGUAGUCCUGCAACAUUGUCAUUUUGAGUCCAAAAUAUUCAAGAAAGUAUCCUUGUACUGGCCGGGUCCGAUCCAAUAUCAUGCAAAAGAUCUUUUAACAGGCAGUUCAGAAUCGAAACCGAACAUGAGCAGUCGAAUGUAGCAUGAAGUUUUUAUUAUUACAAAUUUUGGAGAAGGGGUUUAAUAGAGUUGUAUUCGGUGCCAGCAUUAAACAAUUUCGUCACUACAAUUGAGGCUAUGGCGGACAAAUUAAUAGUAGAUUAUGACAUGAUGAUGCGAACUCGGUCGCAUCAUGUUACGAUACAACUUGACGGUUCGGCUGAACAUACAUGCUGCCUUUAAAUUUAGCUAAACAUACAUUGGAGCCAUUUAAUUGCAAGACAAAGUACCUGAAUGUUCAUGCAUUUGAAAGCUGAUCCUUGCUUUCUCCUAGGUGUCCAUUCGACAAGGGGAUACAUGACCAAUGAAUUCAGCCCUUUGCUGUACAGCUGACUCUUCAAAAAUCAGUGUUCACACUUGAGUCCAUUCCUAUCCAAGUGUUCACACUAAUGUCUAUUCGGCUGGCCAUCAAACUUCAUUCAACUGCUGUACAUGCAUUCGGCUGACCAAGGAAGAUUCAAUUAAUACUUACCCUCCUUAGCUGAUAAGGAAAUUUGCAAAAUUCAGUUCACCUCCAAAGUGCAUUCAGCUGACCAUUCGGGUAUUGCAAAGGUUAAGGUUGUUGGCUUCACCAAUGAUUAGAUGCAUCCAUUUGUUGACUCAAUUAUUCCAGCUCAAGAACCGAACAUGACAAGAUGAAUUGCUCAGCUAUUAAGUCAGCUCCAUGGUUGUUCGGUUAUAGCAAUAGUCAGCUGAUCAUUAAGUUAAUCAUUGGAUUAUUUCAGCUGAAAUUUAAGUCAACAUUAGUGUUUAAUUAUUUGCCAUUAAUUUGAGGCUAUACGGCUGGAGCUAUGUAAGCUUAUAAAUAGCUCAUUGUAAACUGUUUUAAAGGUUACUUAACUUUGAUAUUUUUAUGAAUAUUAAGCUUAGUAAGUUAUUCAACUCCUAA